UACGUAGGGGGCAAGCGUUGUCCGGAAUCAUUGGGCGUAAAGCGCGUGUAGGCGGCUUGGUAAGUCCGUUCUGAAAGCCCGGGGCUCAACCCCGGGAGGCGGAUGGAUACUGCUGAGCUCGAGUCCGGAAGAGGCGAGUGGAAUUCCUGGUGUAGCGGCGAAAUGCGCAGAUAUCAGGAGGAACACCAAUGGCGAAGGCAGCUCGCUGGGACGGUACUGACGCUGAGACGCGAAAGCGUGGGGAGCAAACAGG
rnacentral:rRNA from 1 species